CUGGAGCUCAACAGGCUCCAUAGCCCCAGCCCCCUGUGCUCGACGGACAGCCUGACUUGCCUUAUCACUUAAGGCAAUUCCAGUUCGAGAUAGGAGCAGAGCUCGGGGCUGUCCCACGUAGCCCCCUACAUAAUUGGGUUCAGCGCCCAGCUCCAGAACACCGCCACUCAUGAAACCCGAUUGAUGAUCUCAUAGCUGUUGAUCAUAAGAUCGAGACCAUUCAAUGGCAAAUAGAACAACAGCAGCCCACUCGAAAGUUUUAUUUAAAAAAAAACGAAUCUUUAGUAAUCAUAAUAAUAAUAUACUUAUUUCUUUUUUUUAACAUUUUAAUUUUUAAAUAUCUUAUUUGUUUGUUCUAGAUGAUUAUAAACAAUUAAUGGACGAUGGGCUCAAUGAGAUUUUUGAGGGAGCAGUAGACUGCCCUGAUGAAUUGUUCACGCCUUAGAGUCAGUGCCAAAAAGAGAUCGACUCUCAGCACGCGGUUGUGCGCGUGCCGGCUAAAUCGGCAAAUCAGCAGUGCCCCCGGAGAUGUUCAUCGCCAGUCAAAACUCCCCUUGUCGCCUCACGGAAAGCUGCCGCCUCUGUCAAGGCCAUCGAAGCUG